rnacentral:rRNA from 1 species
ACAUGCAAGUCGAGCGGUAACAGAUCCAGCUUGCUGGAUGCUGACGAGCGGCGGACGGGUGAGUAAUGCAUAGGAAUCUGCCCGAUAGUGGGGGAUAACCUGGGGAAACCCAGGCUAAUACCGCAUACGUCCUACGGGAGAAAGGGGGCUUCGGCUCCCGCUAUCGGAUGAGCCUAUGUCGGAUUAGCUAGUUGGUGAGGUAACGGCUCACCAAGGCCACGAUCCGUAGCUGGUCUGAGAGGAUGAUCAGCCACAUCGGGACUGAGACACGGCCCGAACUCCUACGGGAGGCAGCAGUGGGGAAUAUUGGACAAUGGGGGGAACCCUGAUCCAGCCAUGCCGCGUGUGUGAAGAAGGCCCUCGGGUUGUAAAGCACUUUCAGCGAGGAAGAACGCCUAGCGGUUAAUACCCGCUAGGAAAGACAUCACUCGCAGAAGAAGCACCGGCUAACUCCGUGCCAGCAGCCGCGGUAAUACGGAGGGUGCAAGCGUUAAUCGGAAUUACUGGGCGUAAAGCGCGCGUAGGUGGCUUGAUAAGCCGGUUGUGAAAGCCCCGGGCUCAACCUGGGAACGGCAUCCGGAACUGUCAAGCUAGAGUGCAGGAGAGGAAGGUAGAAUUCCCGGUGUAGCGGUGAAAUGCGUAGAGAUCGGGAGGAAUACCAGUGGCGAAGGCGGCCUUCUGGACUGACACUGACACUGAGGUGCGAAAGCGUGGGUAGCAAACAGGAUUAGAUACCCUGGUAGUCCACGCCGUAAACGAUGUCGACCAGCCGUUGGGUGCCUAGCGCACUUUGUGGCGAAGUAACGCGAUAAGUCGACCGCCUGGAAUUCACA